rnacentral:misc_RNA from 1 species
GGGACUACUAGGGUAUCUAAUCCUGUUUGCUCCCCACGCCUUCGCGCCUCAGCGUCAGUAUUGGUCCAGGAAGCCGCCUUCGCCACCGGUGUUCCUCCUGAUAUCUACGCAUUUCACCGCUACACCAGGAAUUCCGCUUCCCUCUCCCAUACUCAAGCCCCUUAGUUUCAAAUGCACUUCCUCAGUUAAGCUGAGGGCUUUCACAUCUGACUUAAGGGGCCGCCUACGCGCCCUUUACGCCCAAUGAUUCCGAAUAACGCUUGCACCCCCCGUAUUACCGCGGCUGCUGGCACC